rnacentral:rRNA from 1 species
GGGUAUAAAGCGAGCGUAGGCGGACUGUUAAGUUAGAGGUGAAAGCCCAGGGCUCAACCUUGGAAUUGCCUUUGAUACUGGCAGUCUUGAGUACGGAAGAGGUAUGUGGAACUCCGAGUGUAGAGGUGAAAUUCGUAGAUAUUCGGAAGAACACCAGUGGCGAAGGCGACAUACUGGUCCGUUACUGACGCUGAGGCUCGAAAGCGUGGGGAGCAAGCAGGAUUAGAUACCCUGGUAGUCCACGCCGUAAACGAUGAGUGCUAGUUGUCGGCAUGCAUGCAUGUCGGUGACGCAGCUAACGCAUUAAGCACUCCGCCUGGGGAGUACGGUCGCAAGAUUAAAACU